rnacentral:rRNA from 1 species
GACGAACGCUGGCGGCGUGCUUAACACAUGCAAGUCGAACGGAAAGGCCCUGCUUUUGUGGGGUGCUCGAGUGGCGAACGGGUGAGUAACACGUGAGUAACCUGCCCUUGACUUUGGGAUAACUUCAGGAAACUGGGGCUAAUACCGGAUAGGAGCUCCUGCUGCAUGGUGGGGGUUGGAAAGUUUCGGCGGUUGGGGAUGGACUCGCGGCUUACCAGCUUGUUGGUGGGGUAGUGGCUUACCAAGGCUGUGACGGGUAGCCGGCCUGAGAGGGUGACCGGCCACAUUGGGACUGAGAUACGGAGCAGACUCCUACGGGAGGCAGCAGUGGGGAAUAUUGCACAAUGGGCGGAAGCCUGAGGCAGAAACGCCGCGUGCGGGAUGACGGCCUUCGGGUUGUGAACCGCUUUCGCCUGUGACGAAGCGUGAGUGACGGUAAUGGGUAAAGAAGCACCGGCUAACUACGUG